GCGCAACCCUUGUCCUUAGUUACCAGCACGUUAUGUGGGCACUCUAAGGAGACUGCCGGUGGACAAACCGGAGGAAGGUGGGGAUGACGUCAAGUCAUCAUGGCCCUUACGGCCUGGGCUACACACGUGCUACAAUGGUCGGUACAAAGGGUUGCCAAGCCGCGAGGUGGAGCUAAUCCCAUAAAACCGAUCGUAGUCCGGAUCGCAGUCUGCAACUCGACUGCGUGAAGUCGGAAUCGCUAGUAAUCGUGAAUCAGAAUGUCACGGUGAAUACGUUCCCGGGCCUU
rnacentral:rRNA from 1 species